GAUGAACGCUGGCUACAGGCUUAACACAUGCAAGUCGAGGGGAAACGACGGGGAAGCUUGCUUCCCCGGGCGUCGACCGGCGCACGGGUGAGUAACGCGUAUCCAACCUGCCUCUGACUGAGGGAUAACCCGUCGAAAGUCGGCCUAAUACCUCAUGGUAUCGUCUGCGGGCAUCCAACGACGAUUAAAGAUUUCAUCGGUCAGGGAUGGGGAUGCGUCUGAUUAGCUUGUUGGCGGGGUAACGGCCCACCAAGGCUACGAUCAGUAGGGGUUCUGAGAGGAAGGUCCCCCACAUUGGAACUGAGACACGGUCCAAACGCCUACGGGAGGCAGCAGUGAGGAAUAUUGGUCAAUGGGCGAGAGCCUGAACCAGCCAAGUAGCGUGCAGGAAGACGGCCCUAUGGGUUGUAAACUGCUUUUAUGCGGGGAUAAGGUGAGGGACGGGUCCCUCAUUGCAGGUACCGCAUGAAUAAGGACCGGCUAAUUCCGUG
rnacentral:rRNA from 1 species